GCCUUCGGGUUGUAAAGCACUUUCAGUAAGGAGGAAAGGUUAAGUUUUAAUAGAGCUUAGCUGUGACGUUACUUACAGAAGAAGCACCGGCUAACUCCGUGCCAGCAGCCGCGGUAAUACGGAGGGUGCGAGCGUUAAUCGGAAUUACUGGGCGUAAAGCGUACGCAGGCGGUUUGUUAAGCGAGAUGUGAAAGCCCCGGGCUCAACCUGGGAACUGCAUUUCGAACUGGCAAACUAGAGUGUGAUAGAGGGUGGUAGAAUUUCAGGUGUAGCGGUGAAAUGCGUAGAGAUCUGAAGGAAUACCGAUGGCGAAGGCAGCCACCUGGGUCAACACUGACGCUCAUGUACGAAAGCGUGGGGAGCAAACAGGAUUUAGAUACCCUGGUAGUCCAACGCCGUUAAACCGGAUGUCUACUUAGAAGCUCGGGUCCUCGGACUUGUUUUUCAAAGCUAACGCAUUAAGUAGACCGCCUGGGGAGUACGGCCGCAAGGUUAAAACUCAAAUGAAUUGACGGGGGCCCGCACAAGCGGUGGAGCAUGUGGUUUAAUUCGAUGCAACGCGAAGAACCUUACCUACACUUGACAUACAGAGAACUUACUAGAGAU
rnacentral:rRNA from 1 species